GGCCAACACGGCGUUUUCGACGACACCGACUUUUCCGCACUAGAGUCCCUAUAGUAAGAGUCUGGCCAAUGUUCUAAUUGAAUACAAAAUGGCUACUACACCUGUACUGCAUCCACUGUAAUCUCGGUUUUUACGCGUGCACAUUUGUUGCAUACCGGGAUGCAGAAAUAGAAGCGAAAAUGGCUUCUAUAUGAAACGUUUUUCAAUAAGUAAAAAACAAAAAAUUAUAUAGUUGAAACAAAUUGGAAGAGAAAACUGGAAACCGAAACAAUAUUCAGCAAUUUGUGAGGUUCAUUUUACUAAAGAAAUGUAGGAAAAACCGCGACAGGAUGGUUCCAAAAAAUUAAGAGCACAAGCAGUGCCAAGUUUUCCUCAUACAAAAGUAAUGUCGGAAUCUUUCGAUGGAAAAAUAAAGAAGUUAAAAUAUAAUAAAAACAAC